GAUGAACGCUGGCGGCGUGCUUAACACAUGCAAGUCGAACGGAAAGGCUCCUGCUUGCAGGGGUACUCGAGUGGCGCACGGGUGGGUAACACGUGGGUGUUCUGCCCUGCACUUCGGGAUAAGCCUGGGAAACUGGGUCUAAUACCGGAGAGGACCACAUUUUGGAGGGUGUGGUGGAAAGUUUUUCGGUGUGGGUUGAGCUCGCGGCCUAUCGGCUUGUUGGUGGGGUAAUGGCAUACCAAGUCAUCGACGGGUAGCCGACAUGAGAGGGUGGACGGCCUCAUUAGGCCUGAGGUACGGACCAGAGUGCUAUGGGAGGCAGUGGUGGGAAAUAUUGCGCAAUGGGCCCAAGCCUGAUGCAGAGGCGCCGGGUGGGGGAUGAAGGCCUUCGGGUUGUAAACUGCUUUAGCUAAAGACGUAGCGCUAGUGACGGUACCUGGAGAAGAAGCACCGGCUAACUACGUG
rnacentral:rRNA from 1 species